rnacentral:rRNA from 1 species
AGAGUUUGAUCCUGGCUCAGGAUGAACGCUAGCGGCAGGCUUAAUACAUGCAAGUCGUGGGGCAGCAUGAGUAGCAAUACUUGAUGGCGACCGGCAAACGGGUGCGGAACACGUACACAACCUUCCGAUAAGUGGGGAAUAGCCCAGAGAAAUUUGGAUUAAUACCCCGUAACAUAUAGAGUAGGCAUCUUCUUUAUAUU